UACGUAGGGGGCGAGCGUUGUCCGGAAUUAUUGGGCGUAAAGGGCGCGUAGGCGGGUAUUUAAGUCCGAUGUGAAAGAACAGGGCUCAACCCUGAGGGUGCAUCGGAAACUGGGUAUCUUGAGGACAGGAGAGGAAAGUGGAAUUCCACGUGUAGCGGUGAAAUGCGUAGAUAUGUGGAGGAACACCAGUGGCGAAGGCGACUUUCUGGACUGUAACUGACGCUGAGGCGCGAAAGCGUGGGGAGCAAACAGG
rnacentral:rRNA from 1 species